rnacentral:tRNA from 5 species
GGGAUUGUAGUUCAAUUGGUUAGAGCACUGCCCUGUCACGGCAGAAGUUGCGAGUUCGAGUCUCGUCAGUCCCG